GAACGCCCCGCAAGGGGAGUGGCAGACGGGUGAGUAACGCGUGGGAACGCGCCCCAAGGUACGGAACAACAGCGGGAAACUGCUGCUAAUACCGUAUGUGACCGAGAGGUGAAAGAUUUAUCGCCUUGGGAGCGGCCCGCGUCGGAUUAGCUAGUUGGUGGGGUAAAAGCCUACCAAGGCGACGAUCCGUAGCUGGUUUGAGAGAACGACCAGCCACACUGGGACUGAGACACGGCCCAGACUCCUACGGGAGGCAGCAGUGGGGAAUCUUGGACAAUGGGCGCAAGCCUGAUCCAGCCAUGCCGCGUGGAUGAUGAAGGCCCUAGGGUUGUAAAAUCCUUUCGCCGAGGACGAUAAUGACGGUACUCGGAGAAGAAGCUCCGGCUAACUUCGUG
rnacentral:rRNA from 1 species